GGAUUCCCCUAGUAACUGCGAGUGAAGCGGGAAAAGCUCAAAUUUGAAAUCUGGCAGUCUUUUUUUUCUUCUUUGGCUGUCCGAGUUGUAAUCUAGAGAAGUGCUUACCUGCACUGGACCAUGUAUAAGUCUCCUGGAAUGGAGCGUCGCAGAGGGUGAGAAUCCCGUCUUUGACAUGGACUGCCAGUGUGUUGUGGUGUGCUCUCAAAGAGUCGAGUUGUUUGGGAAUGCAGCUCUAAAUGGGUGGUAAACUCCAUCUAAAGCUAAAUAUUGGCGAGAGACCGAUAGUGAACAAGUACCGUGAGGGAAAGAUGAAAAGGACUUUGGAAAGAGAGUUAAACAGUAUGUGAAAUUGUUGAAAGGGAAACGCUUGAAGUCAGUUAUGUUGGCUAGGGAUCAACCUAGCUGUUUUUUUGCUGGGUGAAUUUCCUAGUCUGACAGGCCAACAUCAGUCUUGACUGCUGGAAAAGAGCAGAGGGAAUGUGGCACCUUUGGGUGUGUUAUAGCCUUUUGUCAUAUGUGGCAGUUGGGACUGAGGGAUGCAGCAUGCCGCGAGGCUGGGUUUCUGACCACGUUCAUGCUCAGGAUGUUGGCUUUUAAUGGCUUCAAUCGACCCGUCUUGAAACACGGACCAAGGAGUCUAACAUGCCUGCGAGUGUUUGGGUGGGGAAAACCCUUGUGCACAAUGAAAGUGAAAGUUGAGAUCCCUGUCAUGGGGAGCAUCGACGCCCGGACCUGAGCUUUUAGCAAUGGAUCCGCGGUAGAGCAUGCAUGUUGGGACCCGAAAGAUGGUGAACUAUGCCUGAAUAGGGCAAAGCCAGAGGAAACUCUGGUGGAGGCUCGUAGCGAUUCUGACGUGCAAAUCGAUCGUCAAAUUUGGGUAUAGGGGCGAAAGACUAAUCGAACCAU
rnacentral:rRNA from 1 species